GCGGUGUAAUUUGAAACCUAAGAAUCUGCAGUGUAACCCGCCUCUCUUGUGCCCGUCUGUAUAUGUUUCUAGAAAUUUUAACGAAUAAAACACAGAAGAAUAAGAUAAAGAUAAAAGAAAACAUCUUUCUGUGGUUUACUAUCACGUUUCGGACUAAAUAUUUUUGCUGCAGUGGACCUUUGUGGAUGUUACCAGGCCAUUUCUGGCGGAGUGUUACAGAUCUGUGGAUCACUGAGAGACGCCAUCGCUCUGGAUUGGUCUCCACUACGGCCGACCCCGAGUGAACCAGAGUCAACUCUGCACUGCAGGAUAGCAGCAAGGCCGACUGGGAACCGUCACAUACCGAGUCUGGACUCAAAGUUUCCCGACUACAAAGCUGGGAUGGAAAUGAAGGGCAGCACGCCGCCGAGCACAGCGACUUGUUUCUGCCGGCUGCUCCGAUGCUGAAUGUUGACGGGUAAACUACUUCUGAACCCGCCGCUGAUACGACGAACAAAGGCGUCAGAGAGUCUUCAAGGGAAAACUUGAGAGUCACAGACUGUGACAGGAGGUGCGUGUGGUGCGCUGAAGUGUGCUGUGACUUCGCAGAGGCUGUGAACAUUCUCAUAAUCGUAGGAGGAGAUGUUACAGGGCAGCUGAUGGUGAACAGAGGAACAGAAUUCACCAACCGCCAGCACUGUUCCACCACUAAAGCACAUCUCUAGAAGGUGAUUUCCAGAGGACACAGAACAGCAGGGUAAACCAACAUGACAUCUGAUUUAGGUUUGGCUUGUCACUGAACAUGAAUACACAUCGGGCUGACAUCACUUCCCUUUCCUUUCAAUCAUUUCCCAAUGUGAAUUCAAACCGCCAGUCUCUCAAUGACUAGAUAAAUACUGCUUUUCAACUAGUGAACACCGUCUUCUUCCUCAAACCACUGAUGAUUGAUGCCAUCAUGAACAAGUUGCUAUAAUGAAAGUUAGGUGUGAACAGAGGAUGUAGAAUGAGGAAAAGGAAGAUGAGAAACAGAAAAAAAAAGUACAUUACAGAGGGCAGGGAAAGUGACGGAUGCCUCUGCUGGCUGGGAAACAAUGUUAAGUUCUGAUCAACUAGUAAUUCGUUGUGGUAUUCUCACUGUCUGCAGCUCAAAACGCAUAUGAAAACAGCAGGUUAUAUAGUGUAAUCUACAAAGUGCAAACUAAAUAAAAACUCAGCAUCUUCAGCAGCCCACAAGUCUUUCCACCAAUAAAGCUUUAAAUUGAUUUAAUGUGGA